rnacentral:tRNA from 1 species
UGUCCAGGGAUGGGAAUCGAACCCACAGUGUUCCGCUUACCGGGCAGAUGCCAUGUCCACUAGGCUAAUGUC